CAAUUAGUAAUUGUCCUUAUUGUCACGACCCCAAAUUUUAAGGCCCGGACGGUCCGGUGUGAGGCCCGGACAGUCCGGUAGCUCCUCUAUUCUAGCGUGCCGCGCGUCGCGCGAGGCCACGCGCCAGCCAUCCUCGGUAUGCGUGUGUCGGGCAUCGCCGCCGGCCAUCCUCAGUUAAUGCGUCCUUAUCCGCAGUUGUCGUCGCCGGCCUUAUCCCCCUCUGAGCUGCCGUAUUCCCCUUCUCCUUCUCCCCCUUCCUCGAGCUCGAGCCGAGCAAUGGCACAGCCGGCGCCACGACCAUCUCCGUCGCACCUCGCUCCGAUUCCGCGUACCAGAGCCAGCUCCGCCUUGUCCUCCACCUUUGCCGUGCUUCCCCAAGUCCGGCCGAACCCCACCCUAACCGGAAUCGAUCCCGCACCGGCCGGCCGCCAUUGGAAGCCGUCGCGAGGAGCUUCGUUGCCGCCGCCGAUUCGCCGCCCAUGGCUUCCCGGCGAGCACCUCCACCCGUCAUCGUCUCUGCUUGCUAUGGCGCCUCCCUGUUGCGCCGUCCCUUUGUCUGAGCUUUGGGUGAGCUCCCCCUCACCCUGGACCGCGCUCUGCUCGUGCUGUUCCGCCCCUGCUUGCCGCUGGCGGGAGUGGUGAGCCUCGCUGCCGUGCUGCGUGUGUGAUUCUGUGUGGGUAGAAGAUGAACAGUAGAAGCUAAUAACAAUCCUUGUUGUACUUGUGUGUGUUUGAGAUUGCAAAAAUCAUAGAAAAAUAAAUAUAGAUCCAAAAAUAGUGAAACUUGUUUUGUUA